rnacentral:rRNA from 1 species
AUUGAACGCUGGCGGCAUGCCUUACACAUGCAAGUCGAACGGCAGCAUGGAGAGCUUGCUCUCUGAUGGCGAGUGGCGAACGGGUGAGUAAUGCAUCGGAACGUACCGUGUAAUGGGGGAUAACGUAGCGAAAGUUACGCUAAUACCGCAUACGACCUGAGGGUGAAAGCAGGGGAUCGCAAGACCUUGCGUUAUACGAGCGGCCGAUGUCAGAUUAGCUAGUUGGUGAGGUAAAGGCUCACCAAGGCGACGAUCUGUAGCGGGUCUGAGAGGAUGAUCCGCCACACUGGGACUGAGACACGGCCCAGACUCCUACGGGAGGCAGCAGUGGGGAAUUUUGGACAAUGGGGGCAACCCUGAUCCAGCCAUGCCGCGUGAGUGAAGAAGGCUUUCGGGUUGUAAAGCUCUUUCGGCCGGGAAGAAAUCGCACAGGCUAAUACUCUGUGUGGAUGACGGUACCGGCAUAAGAAGCACCGGCUAACUACGUGCCAGCAGCCGCCGUAAGAC